CUUCUGAAAAGAGCGCUGAAUGGUUGUUACAGGCAACCUGAAAACAAACAAAUCUACCUACAACACACACCGGCUCUGAACUCGGAAGCAGCUGAAGUCAGUUGUCCUGGACGGUGAAUUAGCAAGCAGAAGGAAUCGUGGGACUUCAAAAGCUUCUUCUGGUUGAGACACACAAACGUAUGCUGUACCGAAGCCCAGCUUAGCUCGCCUAAUAACGACACUCAAGAGCUUCCACCUUUUAUUGGAAAAAAGAACAAAGCAAUUCAACGAUUAUAUUUCACACUAACAUUGUUGCAAGCCCACCAUUCUAAGAGCUUCUAAUUUCAUUUAUCCUGCUGCCAAGGAUAGUUCUUUCUAUGAAUGUUAUUAUUUCAUUUCAA